UCCGGCCAUCCCUCUCAGCUUCCCUUCCGUCCUCCAUCCUGACCUCCCAGACCCGGCCGGCUGACCUUCGAGGGCCAUCAGAACCAUGUCUCUGCAUCAGUUUCUGCUGGAGCCGAUCACCUGCCAUGCCUGGAACAGGGAUCGCACCCAGAUCGCCUUUAGCCCCAAUAAUCAUGAAGUGUACAUCUACAAGAAGAAUGGGUGUGAGUGGGUGAAAGCUCAUGAGCUGAA